AACGAACGCUGGCGGCAUGCCUAACACAUGCAAGUCGAACGAGACCUUCGGGUCUAGUGGCGCACGGGUGCGUAACGCGUGGGAACCUGCCCUUAGGUUCGGAAUAACUCCCCGAAAGGGGUGCUAAUACCGGAUAAUGUCUUCGGACCAAAGAUUUAUCGCCUUUGGAUGGGCUCGCGUUGGAUUAGCUAGUUGGUAGGGUAAAAGCCUACCAAGGCGACGAUCCAUAGCUGGUCUGAGAGGAUGAUCAGCCACACUGGGACUGAGACACGGCCCAGACUCCUACGGGAGGCAGCAGUGGGGAAUAUUGGACAAUGGGCGAAAGCAUGAUCCAGCAAUGCCGCGUGAGUGAUGAAGGCCUUAGGGUUGUAAAGCUCUUUUACCCGGGAUGAUAAUGACAGUACCGGGAGAAUAAGCUCCGGCUAACUCCGUG
rnacentral:rRNA from 1 species